UAAUGUUGAGUGUCACUUUUUACCACAAUCGAAUUGUUGGGAAGCGUCAUGCCUUAGCGAGACACUUAGCUAUAUUAGUUAAUGAUCAUAAUAUGUGUCCAUUGCGCGUACAUUAAUGGGUGGACAUCAAGGAUUAUAAGCUGGAUCACAUGUGGGCAGUUGUGACUAUAAGGAUUUAAAACAUGAGUUUUUUGUUUUGCCUUCUCAUUUUAUUCUUUUACAAAUACUUGUGAGCUUAUAUCAUUGUAUUUGUUGAGUUAUUUUCUAUUUGAUUUGUCAGAAUCUGUAAAGAAAAUAGUUGAUAUGCUAUAUUGGACUUGUGAAACUCAGUGUUAUUAAAAGCGCUCGCUUUGUCGCCUAAAGCAUUGAGGUAAGGCGACUGGCUUGUGCUUUAGAAGGCUGAGGCGAUGCUGGUAAAAAGAAGGGACUCUUCUCCUCAAGAAGAUCGAAGUGGAGGAGAAGCGAGAAGCAUGCGCUUCGUUUAUUUUAAUAAAAAGUUGACUUUAAACAGAAAAGGAUUCAACUUUCUUACUAGUUUUGCUGCUCUCUUCCUUGGUCUGGUUUCUAUACUUCAAGCUACAGGUAUGAUUAUUUCUUCUUCUUCCCCUCCUCCUCUUCUCUUCUUCGUCUCGUCUCUGAUAUCGUCGCUGCUGCUGUUUUUUUUCUUUCUCUUCUUUUCUUUUAUCUUAUGUCGCUGCUACUGCAGCGUUUUUCUCCUCUUCUUCUUUUCUCUUUUCUGAUAUCACUGCUGCUGCUGCUUUUUUUUUCUUUCUUUUCUAUUCUCUGAUCUAAUAUCACUGCUACUGCAAUAUGAGCAUCAUGGUGACAGAUGCAAGGUUCAACAUUUUUGCCCAUAUAUAUUAGAAUAUUUGUCCAUGAUGCAACUUCUAUGUUGACAUUUAAUUCUUUUUAUUUUAAGAAUUUGCAGCCUGUUAGUUGGAUAGUAGUGCAUCCACUAUACUGGCUAUCAAAGAUGUGGAGAUAGCUUGUUCUCUGCAUUGAAUUUGAGUUCCAUUAUAUUCUCAUGAAAUUUGGAAAACUGGAAAAUGAUGUCCGGUAUCAUUCAAUUUAUACCAGGUUCUACAAUAACAUGCCUUCUAUACCAAAGCUGAUUCCUUAAACAUAUUAGUAGAAGUAACUCACUUUCUAAUAACAGGAGUAUCUGGUUUCCAAUCUUCUGUGUAAAGAGUUUCUCCAGUAGUUUUUUGGUAGUAUUGAAAACAACUGAUAGAAUAUGUUUCAUUAUUUCAUAUUCUUACCGAUUCCUUUUGAUCCUAGGCUUCAGAAUCUGUGAUGCGAAACCAAGACCUUUUAAUUGUUUUAAGUUGAUGUACUUAUUAAAGUUUUGUGAUUUGUUGCUAUGUGAAGAUAAUGAGUAUGGAUAAGGUAGAAGAGUCAUGAUUAUUCUAUUCAUUAAAUAAAAUACAGAUGUCAUGAUAUUUUUAUUACUAAAACCUAUAUGAAAAGUGGUUUAGGUCCUAUUUAGGAGAUUUUCUCAUUAGUUGCUCUAAUUUGAUGGAAUAAAGUUAUGUAUGAGGUUGCCUACUUGGAACUAAAAGCUGGACAUCAAUCAAUCAGGGGAAUCUUGAAUUAGAAUUUUGAUACUCUAGAGCUUGAGCUUUACGAGAUAGAGAAUCUUUUUCUCUUGGCUUGCACAUUCUCUUGCCUAUCUAUUAGGAGUUUUGUUACUGUAUUGAGAUGACCUUUCUUCUUUUAACAAAUCAAGAUUUACAAUAUACAAGCUGGAUUCUAAAGAACUGGCCUGCUACCCUUGAAGAAAGUGCAGAACAAUUGAAGCAAUCUACUUUGGUUUUGUUACAAUCUGUUUAGAAAUGUCACAUUUGUAAAAGCUAUAAUUUUAUUCUCUUUUGUUUGGAGUUGACAAAUAUAAUGUCAUGUAAUCUGAAUGUGUAUAUUUUUAUAUUUUUUUUAUUAAUGUAAUGAUUUUUUUUUUCAAGUGUCCAAUAAUUUUUAUUAAAAGCACCUGUAACAA